GAGUUUGAUUCUGGCUCAGGACGAACGCUGGCGGCGCGCUUAACACAUGCAAGUCGUGCGAUACCUCGAGCAAGUCUUACGACAAGCUCAAGGUGUAGCGGCGGACGGGUGAGUAACACGUGAGUAGCUGUCCUAAGGAGGGGGAUAACGCCUGGAAACGGGUGCUAAAACCCCAUAUGCCUCGCAAGAGGUGAAAGUGUAGCUUGCUACAGCCUUAGGGUGUGCUCGCGGCCUAUCAGCUAGUUGGUGAGGUAACGGCUCACCAAGGCUAAGACGGGUAGCCGGCCUGAGAGGGUGUACGGCCACACUGGAAUUGAGAUACGGUCCAGACUCCUACGGGAGGCAGCAGUGGGGAAUCUUGGGCAAUGGGCGAAAGCCUGACCCAGCGACGCCGCGUUGGGGAUGAAGCCCUUCGGGGUGUAAACCCAUGUUGUAGGGGACGAAGAAAGUGACGGUACCCUACGAGGAAGCCCCGGCUAACUACGUGCCAGCAGCCGCGGUAAGACGUAGGGGGCGAGCGUUGUCCGGAAUUACUGGGCGUAAAGGGCACGCAGGCGGUGCGCCAAGUCGAGGGUGUAAAGUUACGGCUCAACCGUGACAUUGCAAUCGAUACUGGCGCACUGGAGUGCGGGAGAGGGAAGUGGAAUUCCCGGUGUAGCGGUGAGAUGCGUAGAUAUCGGGAGGAACACCAGUGGCGAAGGCGGCUUCCUGGCCUGGCCCUGACGCUGAGGCGCGAAAGCGUGGGGAGCAAACAGGAUUAGAUACCCUGGUAGUC
rnacentral:rRNA from 1 species